AGACAACCCGCCGCCUACGCCUGCGCUCCCCUGACAGGUCUGAUGUGCCCUCUAUUUCGUCUGGGCGCACGCUCUCCUGUGUGUGAUCUGUAUCUGUGACUCUCUCUCCCUCCUGGGUCUCUCUCUCUGUCUCAGUAAGGUUGGAGGUUGUCCUCCGUUGCGUGAUAAACGGCAGGAGGAAGGACAUAAUCUGGGCAUAACGCCAGGGCCUCUUCUGAGAGGCAGCAGCCCUGCUUACCCUCCUGGACUGGUCCUCCCUUCUAUACCGAACAAAGGCAUCACGGAGGUGACCCUGUGAGACGAAUGAUGAGAUAAAACGGAACCAGUGCCCUUUGAGCCAAUUAGAGUUUGAAGGGUCGAAAGGGGAAAAAGGAAUUUUCAGGACCUGGCGAUAUAUCCCGCCAUAAUCUAGGUCUGCCACAAAAUCCAUUCCACAACUCUGCAGAAGAUGGUUGAAAACUGUAUAGCGGAUGCACUGAGAUAUGCUCCUCCCAGAGGGACUCAGAUUUGGAGUUUUGGAAAUCAUCCAGUCGCAAGAUCUUCGCAAUUAAAAGCAUUGAGUUGGUGAAACUUAAAAGACAAGAGAAUGUGUCUAAAAAGAAAAGGGGCAUAAUGAAGGACAUCUUCUGGAUGAAAGUCGAUCAGUGUGUCAUGACCCUGCAGGAGCACCAGAGGGGGUUACCUGAUUGAAUCUUUUGGCGCUGAUUAAACACUAAAAUGCAAAAGUUUGCACUUUUACAAGAAGUUUAGUUUAGCUGUUUCCAAGUUUCCAAGAAGUGUUUCUUGAGCAGGCCAAUAUAUUCAUGUUAUUCAUUUAAAUAUUUUUUGUUAUUAAAGAAUGCACUAAAAUUCUACUCUUGAAAAGCUGUCUUUUUUGGGUGUGGGGGUGGCUUUAUAGGAUUGUUAGUGCAUGAUGUUCCAAAAAUAUUACAGCUGAAACAUUUUGGGAAC
ensembl:lncRNA